GAUGAACGCUGGCAGCGUGCCUAACACAUGCAAGUCGAGCGAUUCACUUCGGUGAAGAGCGGCGGACGGGUGAGUAACGCGUGGGUAACCUGCCUCAUACACAUGGAUAACAUACCGAAAGGUAUGCUAAUACAAGAUGAUAUAAGAGAUUCGCAUGGAUUUCUUAUCAAAGCUCCGGCGGUAUGAGAUGGACCCGCGUCUGAUUAGCUAGUUGGUAAGGUAACGGCUUACCAAGGCGACGAUCAGUAGCCGACCUGAGAGGGUGAUCGGCCACAUUGGAACUGAGACACGGUCCAAACUCCUACGGGAGGCAGCAGUGGGGAAUAUUGCACAAUGGGCGAAAGCCUGAUGCAGCAACGCCGCGUGAGCGAUGAAGGCCUUCGGGUCGUAAAGCUCUGUCCUCAAGGAAGAUAAUGACGGUACUUGAGGAGGAAGCCCCGGCUAACUACGUGCCAGCCGCCGCAGUAAGAC
rnacentral:rRNA from 1 species